rnacentral:rRNA from 1 species
GAUGAACGCUGGCCUUGCGUGGGCGGAGACACAUGCAAGUUGAGCGAACCCUUCGGGGUGAGCGGCGGACGGGUGAGUAACGCGUGGGUAACCUGCCCUGUACACACGGAUAACAUACCGAAAGGUAUGCUAAUACGAGAUAAUAUGUUUUAAUCGCAUGGUUAAGAUAUCAAAGCUCCGGCGGUACAGGAUGGACCCGCGUCUGAUUAGCUAGUUGGUGAGGUAAUGGCUCACCAAGGCGACGAUCAGUAGCCGACCUGAGAGGGUGAUCGGCCACACUGGAACUGAGACACGGUCCAGACUCCUACGGGAGGCAGCAGUGGGGAAUAUUGUUUUUUUUGGGCGAAAGCCUGAUGCAGCAACGCCGCGUGAGCGAUGAAGGCCUUCGGGUCGUAAAGCUCUGUCCUCAAGGAAGAUAAUGACGGUACUUGAGGAGGAAGCCCCGGCUAACUAC